UGGCACUGGGCCGAGUCCAGCGGAGGUGGCUGCCAGCAAAACUCCACUGAAGUCAAAGGAAUUGCACCCAUGCACAGGUAUUGAGUUCAUGGGCAUUCGUUUGCUAGCCCUGAGUGGCUUUGGACAUGAGGCCACGCACCUUCAUCUGCACACUUGAAAGCACAUGUCUCAAGAGCAUCUGGUCCUUGAAAUGCUAGAGAGAAGGGAUGCAGAACAAAUAGCAAAAACUUGACACAUAAUAACUGCUCUGCUGUCCAAAAAAAUACGGGUCUUAUUCUGAAGAGGUCACAGCCUAAUCAGAUGCAAUGUGGAAUCAGAUGCAAGGGGAAAUGAAGAAGGAAAAUGCUGGACUCUUUGACCUCCGUGAUGACGUCACUGAUGACACUGAGGUGGUUUUACUGAAGUUUGCCCUAUUCAAGCACUGUGGCUAAGGAGCCUAAGCUGUCUUGGAGUGACUAAGUGUGACUUUGGCCUUUCUCCUGAGGAGACCUGUUUUCCGACUGCUUUGAAUUAGGAGUGAGAUAUACGCUACUUGAGGAUUAGAAGAGAAAUUCCUUCAUGCAGCAGUUCCUAAAGAAAUGUGCAAGUGAAACAUGUAGCUAGCUCUAAACGACCUUUCAAGAAUUCAGAACAAAGGGAGAAUCAAGGGUGAGAUCACUGGGGAGGGGUUGUAGAUGGGUCUGGAAGGACACUUGCAGGCUUGUUGCAUGAUUAGGUGAAAAAAAAUAAAAAGCAGAGCCUGGGCA
rnacentral:lncRNA from 1 species